AACCUUGGUAUAUAUAAUUCCAAAUAAUCCAAUGGAUAAUUUAGCGAAUUUCUUACAUAAUGCUAAAUAUAAUAUGAAAAUCAUAAACUCCACGAACUUCUCCCGGUGCGAAACAACACGUGUGACAUUGAUCUUAUAGGAAGAAACUUAAGUAAAUUUUGAAAUAGUAAAUUUUCAGGAAACGUUGUCCUUUGCAACUCUAAGCGCGCAAACUUAAUGGAAGCACUAAGUUUCAAGCUUAGUGUAGUUGAAUAUUGCAGCUAUUUGUGAAUGAAUUGUUCUCGUAAGGAGAUAUUUACCAUGUCUCUAAGAAAUGGGCCCCAUAUAUGAUUUCUAAACUGAUGCUCCCAUUAUGCUUUGCACGCUUAGAGUUUAAGUUUUGCAAAGGACAACCUUUUUUUUAUUAGACCUUUCCCCUUAUAACCAAAAUUUUGAUCUAGGCAAGUCUAGACAAAUAUUUCAUCACAGCUUGAAAGAGCAUCACAAAAUUAGUAAUAUUCCAAAGUUUCGUUGCGAAAUGUUGUAAAAUGCGGAUAAUAUAGCCUUGCGAAAUUUGCAAUUUUCAGUCAUUUUAGAUUACAAACGGGAAAUUGCAGCCCCAACACCCGAAUCGUAUGUCAAUUUCCCGUUUGUAAUACAAAAUGACUGAAAAACGGCAAACUUCGCAAGGCUAUAUUAUCCGCAUUUUAGAAGAUUUUGCAACAAAACUUUGGAAUAUUACUAAUUUUGUGAUGCUCUUUCAAGCUGUGAUGAAAUUUUUGUCUAGAUCGAAAUUUUAGUUAUAAGGGGAAAGGUCCAUUAAGUCAAUUAUUUAGUGAAUUUCUUUCAUGCAAUGUUUCAAACACUCCGAUAGCUGUUAGAGGCAUCUGUAUAUAUGCUGCUUGAGAUAUAAAUGCCGUACAAAAAGGCCACGGAUAGACAUGCGCGCUUAACAUAGAUUCAUUAAACAGCGUUUUAAAAUAAUACUGGCG